rnacentral:tRNA from 1 species
GGAGAGAUGGCUUAAUGGUCAAGAGCACUGGCUGCUGGUCCAGAGGACUUGGGUUCAAUUCCCAGCAUCUACA